UCUCAUGCUAACUUCAAUUCCCCAAAUUAGGGAUAUCAAUUUCCCCAAAACUCAUCUGCCAAAACUUAUUGUUCCUUUCAGAGAUCUAAACCAAUCAAGUUAUGGGAGGUCAUGGAGGUUUGAACAUUCUCCCACAGAAGCGAUGGAACGUAUACAACUACGAAAACCGCGAGAAAGUAAAGCGAGACGAGGAAGCCGCAGCUAAAGAGGAACAGCUCAAGCAGGAACAAUCUCGCAAGCGCGACUCAGAAUAUCGCCUGGAGCAGCUCCGUCAAGCGCGUGGCUUAUUAUCAUCGUCGUCGAAUCACGUCAAAAAAUCGUCGUCAGGACAGAAAUCGCCGGAGAAGAAACCGGAACCAUCAAAAUCGGCGGAGGAGAAACGUGGAAAAUCGGAUUCUAAGCACAUCAAUUUAUUCGAAGGGAUUCGAAUCUUCGAUCCAGUUAAAAAAGUAGAAGAAGAUGAGGAGAAAAACGGAAGGAAUAAUAAUAAGAGGAUUAAGAAAGAGCAAGCGCCUAGGGUUAUUACUGCGGAGGAUGAGAAGUAUAGGUUAGGAUAUGGAAUUGUUGGUAAAGGAACGAAAUUGCCUUGGUAUAUGGAGAAUAAAACGAGAGAUGAUGAUGAAAAGAGUGACGAAGAUAAUGAUAAUGAUUAUUAUUCGAAGCCUGUAAAAAAGAGUAAUGGAGGAAAAAAGACGGUGGAGGAAUUGCGAGAAGAGCGGUUAAAGAGGGAGAGGAAGGAGAAGGAAAGAGAAAAGGCUUUGUUAAUGGAGAAGAGUCGAAGAGAUGGAGGAUUUUCGCGGUUAGAGAGGGAGAGGAAGGGGAAGGAAAGAGAAAGACCUUUGUUAAUGGAGAAGAGUCGAAGAGAUGGAGGAUUUUCGUGACGAAGAUGAGGUGGGUAUCAGAGUCGGAUCCAGGUUUUAAACUCAAUUCGUUCAGCCUAUAAGGGCGAUGAACACAAACGAAGUGGAUCUGUUGUACUUUCUGCGAGCUCUUUGAGGAAAAAGCAUGGCUGGGUGCAGUUUUAUUCUUGAAUAUGUCUAUUUUCUCGCGUCGUCUCUAUUUUAGUUUGGCAAGCGCUUGAUGUUUAAUGCGAGAGUCCAUUUCCUGUACGGAUAGCAAAUCAUAUGGCGAGGAAACUGCAUGCAGUUCGGUUCGAGAGGCCUGAUUGACAUGAGAUGGAUUAUGAGAUUCUUGCUUCGCCUGGGAAAUUGUUUCUGAAAGUCAAAAACCAGUCCUACCCCCCCAGCUUCCCCGAAAAAGAUGGUCGUAAAAGUGCCUCUGACCCGGCGGAUCCGUGCUUCGCUUUGUGUACAUGUUGUCAUCCAUGUUAUUAAGUGAAAAAUGAAGUGUUUUGCUUACAACAGUCUUAAAAUGAAAUCCAUAAUUCGUUUUUGUGCAGUCUCUACUCUCUAUGGAGAAGCAUUUCAGUCCUGUAUGGAGAAGCACACGAAAUGCCGACUUAUAUUUCGACUGAUAUUGUUAUAGAUCUGAUUCUGAAAAUUCUGUUUUUACUAUUCACUUUGCUGUUUGUCAACAUGUAGAAGCCAUGGAUUUGAUAUUGUGAGCAUGAUGUCGGAAUUACUUGA